GUACAAGCAAGGCCAGGAACCAGAAGUCUGCGCUGCUUUCCUGGAUGUGACCGGAACAAGGAGCUGGAACCAUGCAGCACAGGGGAACCAGUUCCAGAGCUCCUCUGCUCUUUCCAUCCAGCUUUGCUACUGCAUAACCCAAGAGUGAACUACAC